CGCAGCCGCGGUAAUUCCAGCUCCAAUAGCGUAUAUUAAAGUUGUUGCAGUUAAAAAGCUCGUAGUUGAAUUUCGGGAUCAGUUCGUCGGUCGUGCCUUUGGUAUGUACUGGUGUUACUGGUUCCUCCCUUCUGACGAACCGUCAUGUCAUUAAUUUGGUGUGGCGGGAAAUCAGGACUGUUACUUUGAAAAAAUUAGAGUGUUUAAAGCAGGCUCGCGCUUGAAUACAUUAGCAUGGAAUAAUGAAAUAGGACGUUCGAUCCUAUUUUGUUGGUUUCUAGGAUUGACGUAAUGAUUAAUAGGGAUAGUUGGGGGCAUUAGUAUUCAAUUGUCAGAGGUGAAAUUCUUGGAUUUAUUGAAGACUAACUACUGCGAAAGCAUUUGCCAAGGAUGUUUUCAUUAAUCAAGAACGAAAGUUAGGGGAUCGAAGACGAUCAGAUACCGUCGUAGUCUUAACCAUAAACUAUGCCGACUAGGGAUCGGAUGAUGUUAAUUUUUUAAUGUACUCAUUCGGCGCCUU
rnacentral:rRNA from 1 species